CCAGACUCCUACGGGAGGCAGCAGUGGGGAAUAUUGCACAAUGGGGGGAACCCUGAUGCAGCGACGCCGCGUGGGCGAGGAAGUAUUUCGGUAUGUAAAGCCCUAUCGGCAGGGAAGAAGAAAUGACGGUACCUGAAUAAGAAGCACCGGCUAAAUACGUGCCAGCAGCCGCGGUAAUACGUAUGGUGCAAGCGUUAUCCGGAUUUACUGGGUGUAAAGGGAGCGUAGACGGAAAGGCAAGUCAGAAGUGAAAGCCCAAGGCUCAACCAUGGGACUGCUUUUGAAACUGUCAAACUAGAGUACGGGAGAGGUAAGAGGAAUUCCUAGUGUAGCGGUGAAAUGCGUAGAUAUUAGGAGGAACACCAGUGGCGAAGGCGGCCUGCUGGACGACAACUGACGGUGAGGCGCGAAAGCGUGGGGAGCAAACAGGAUUAGAUACCCGAGUAG
rnacentral:rRNA from 1 species